rnacentral:rRNA from 1 species
GAAUUUUAUAUAGAUUUGGGUUAUUGGUUGAUUAUAAGUUAGACUUAGGUUUAUAUUUGGUUGGGAGGAUGUCUAAAUUUAACAAACUUUAGUUGUAUAAAUACAUUUAUGUAUGGGGUUAAAUAUAUGAGUGAUCAUUAGAAUAUUGAAAAAUUAAUUACCUCAGGGAUAACAGCGUAAUAUUUUUAGAGAGAUCAUAUUAAUAAAAAUGAUUGC